UUUUUCGUGUUUUUAGAGGAUUUGAUGCUUUAAAGAUGAAAUGAAGCUUGUUUCUGGGUCAUCCCCUAGUGGUCAGUUUGACUUCGACCCGUAAUAGUGUAAAGUAAUAAAUUAAGUAAUGAAUAAAAGAAAAAUACAAUACGGUGUUAUAAGUGAGCAGUAUGCUAGUUACUGCAAUGUUGAUGACCCCAAAACACAAAGCCAAGGGUUAUGUGAGGUUUUAAGAGCUCCCUGUUUACUUUAAUAGUUAGCAGUUACUGUAUAUGUGAGAUAAAAACUCAGUUGUUGAGUUUUGCGUUUCUUAUUUUUUAAUAUUCCUCUUAUAUUUUCUGGUUUAUUAUCAUCAACAUCUAUUAACCAUUUUGUAUCAGAAAUUAUUCACAUUUGCCAUAGAGAUAGAAAAACUGUAUGAAGAACUGAAGGUGAAGCAUCAGCAGAUUCAAGAAGAAGAAAGGAAUUCUGCUUGCCUGAAAUGUUUAUACAUGUAAAAAUAUUUAAAUACAUGUUUGAUGGUUAUGUUUGAUAUUGUUUACAUGAAUUGUUGUAAAUGACAAGAUUUUCACUGCUCAUUAUCAGACACAGAGGAUGAUGUUUAAGUGAAUACAGAAGACUGUCGCGCAGAGCUGAAAAACCUAGGUAUGCGUUUGUUUGAUGAUUAAAUACUGAUACUGAGUAGAACUAGUGGGGUUAGUGAAUGACAGCAAAAAAGUUCAAUUGAAUCUACAAAGAUGGCAAAAUAGACAGUAUUUAAAAAUGUCUUUCUCCAACAGGCAGAAAUCUGAACAAGUGCUGUAAAUGAUGAGCACCAAAUAAAUGCUCAUAAUCACACACAGAGGAUGAUGUUUAUGAAAAUACACAGUCAUCAGUUCUCCAAAAAAAAGAGCUUUUUAAUAUCCUUCCUUCCUUAUGAUAUCUUCAUAAUGGGACCAUAAAAGACAGACACAUAAAAGGUUUCCACAAAAAAGGUCUUGGAAUAUUGUAAAACAGGCACUACUGGAGUACACUGUAUGUACACUACUGUACAAAGGUGUGACUUCAGGACGGUCCAAGGCUGAAAUAGUACAUUUUUAAAAAGAUUCACCUACAACAUUUCCUGGAAUCACAAAGCAUAUAUGAAGCAUGACGCGCGGGUUAGGAAACGGGGGAAAAGUUAAUUAUCCAACAGGUAGACAUCUGAAACUGCUAUAUUUUUAAAUAAAUAUUUUAGAUGUUGUAAGUAUAUGUGAUCAGGCAUCACAAAUUCCAAGGACUUUUAAAUUGUUAGAAUUACAAGCAGUGGAUGAUGACAAUGUGAACACACAGCAGAUGCAUCCGAAGACUAAACAAUGCACAGCUUCAUCUAGAUACAACAUCAUCAUAUCUGCUCUUGGUCUUCUGCUGCUUGGAGCUUUAGCAUCACUCUGUGCUGUAGGGAUCUUGUAUCACAAUAAAGUUGUUUCCACGGAGAUGUUAAGUGAAGGAGACGAGAACACUACAGCCGAACUGAUGGGGCUAAAAUACAAAGCCACUGUGUAAAACAUUAGGGUAAAUGGAGAAGAAGUGACACAGCAGUUCAACACACCUGGGGAACACCUAUGGGUAAACAGCCACCAAGGAAGUGUCCAAGUAGCUCCUGAUACAAAACAAAACUGUACACUUUGUGAGGAAGGAUGGAAGUCUCUUAGUUUAAAGUGUUACUACUUCUCCACUGAUAAACUGAACUGGACACAGAGUCGAGAUUACUGUGUGGAGAAAGGAGGUCACCUGGUGAUUAUAACCAGCCAAACUGAACAGGGCUUUUUCUUCUCACAAUUUGGAGAAACACACUGGAUUGGCUUGAAUGACUUGGAGACUGAGGGUCAGUGAAUGUGGGUGAACAACCAGCCCUUAAAGGAGACGGGUGUAACGUUCUGGUUUAGUUCUCCAGAGGGACCAAAUGAGCCUGAUAACUGGACAAAGAAGGACCCUUCUGGAGAGAAUUGUGCUGCUCUGGGGAACACAAAUGUUAACAUACAUAAAUGGUUUGAUGCUUCUUGUAGUACAAUCAAAAAGUACAUCUGUGAAAAGUAAAAGACAUUUCUCUUACAUUUGAGUCUGCAAAUAUUUGUUUUUAUGAAUGCAGGAAAGUUCUUGGUUGUCGACUAUUUUUGUUGUUGAAGUAUUUAGUUCUGCUUUGUUUAGAUAUUGCCUUUUUUUUUUUUUUUUUUUCUCACCUGUAAUACCAUCGAAAGCCACAUAGGGGCGUUAAUGGGAAAUUGAGCAUAUAUGCCCAGUUAGCAUAGAGUAAGGCAGAUUUGUUUGGGAGAGGAGAACCAUGUGUUUGUCUUCUCUCUCAUAUAUGGCAUCUAAACUUUUUGUGUGAAGAAUUCUGAGUUUUUGCUCUACUAAAGGAUUUUUUUGUUGGAACUGGCAAGAACCAAAAACCUCACUGUAUUGAGUGAAGCAUGUUAGUGGCAAAUAUCUGCUGGAGGAAUCAUUGUGUCUUCAUUUGUGGUCUUCACCUGUGGAUUAAUUCUAUUUUCUUUUGACAUUGGAUCUGAGUGUUGAUGAGGUUACUGCUAUUGCUAUGGCCUCUUGGAGGCGUUGAGGACAGCAGGCCUAUAGACAGCAUUCCAGUUUGCUUUGUCAUGUCUUUGCAAUGUGGAAUUGGGGAUUUAAUAAUUGCAUUGGACUCGAGUAUUGGUCUGGACUUUAAACUGUAAACAUUAUCAUCUAAACUCACCAUAAAACAAUGUUUUGUACUUAAUUGAUAUGAAGACUCAUGAGGUGAUUUCUAUGUAUUUGUUGUUUUCUUUGAAUAUGUUUGGGAGCAUAUGUGGGAUAAAUAA